rnacentral:lncRNA from 1 species
AAUUGAACCAUCAUGGGUGCACUCUGCAUCCACUAGUACCUAUUUUCAAUUUUCAAACACAAACUUUAGGUUAAACCAAAAGAGAAACUCCGAAAACAAAAAAAACAAGAGUUGAAACAGUUUUAAACAAAUCGGUUUUACACAAUCCAACAACCCCAGAACCACCACUUCAAACCCUAACCAAACCCCAACCUGCAAAUCAGUGGCCGUUAAAGUCUUUUGUGCCAAUCAGGAAACAAGCCCAGAUCUCUCUCGCUACCAGCAUCUCUUGCUACCAAAAUCCAUCUUAGUGUUUUAAAUCCCUGAUCCUCAAUAUUAACUGUUUCGACGGUUGGAAUGUUACAGAUCUUGUUAUAACGAUUUAGAGAGAGAGAGAGAGAGAGUUUAAGGAAGAGAGAGAGAUGGCGGCUAAUGGUGGUGGUGUUGCUCACUAGGUGGAGGUGGAGAAAGAAACAGAGAGAUGAGAGAAAGAGAUAGAAGGGAAGGUGGGGGUGGGACGGGGUAUUUGUACCACAUUUAUAAUUGA